rnacentral:rRNA from 1 species
GGAAUAUUAGACAAUGGGCGCAAGCCUGAUCCAGCCAUGCCGCGUGAGUGAUGAAGGUCUUAGGAUUGUAAAGCUCUUUCACCGGUGAAGAUAAUGACGGUAACCGGAGAAGAAGCCCCGGCUAACUUCGUGCCAGCAGCCGCGGUAAUACGAAGGGGGCUAGCGUUGUUCGGAUUUACUGGGCGUAAAGCGCACGUAGGCGGACUUUUAAGUCAGGGGUGAAAUCCCAGAGCUCAACUCUGGAACUGCCUUUGAUACUGGAAGUCCUGAGUAUGGAAGAGGUGAGUGGAAUUCCGAGUGUAGAGGUGAAAUCCGUAGAUAUUCGGAGGAACACCAGUGGCGAAGGCGGCUCACUGGUCCAUUACUGACGCUGAGGUGCGAAAGCGUGGGGAGCAA